CACGUAGGGGACGAGCGUUGUCCGGAUUCAUUGGGCGUAAAGCGCGUGUAGGCGGCUCGGUAAGUCUGCUGUGAAAGUCCAGGGCUCAACCCUGGGAUGCCGGUGGAUACUGUCGAGCUCGAGUCCGGAAGAGGCGAGUGGAAUUCCUGGUGUAGCGGUGAAAUGCGCAGAUAUCAGGAAGAACACCAAUGGCGAAAGCAGCUCUCUGGGACGGUACUGACGCUGAGACGCGAAAGCGUGGGGAGCGAACAGG
rnacentral:rRNA from 1 species